rnacentral:misc_RNA from 1 species
UUGCCCUGCGCCAGACGAAGCUGGUCAAUGAUCCAGGGUCCGAACAUGAACACGAACAAUGCACCGGUGACCAUCGCGCCGCCGGUGCGGAAGGUGAUGUAGCGGAACACAUUGAUGCCGGGGAUGGUGCCGGCCAAUUCAGUGAGCCAAUAAAACAUUCCAAUUGCCUUAGUGUGUGGCGCCGUCGAGCGCGGCUUUUUCUGGAAAACGCUUCUGCAACGCGGUCACAAUCAAUUUCAUAC